UACGUAGGGUCCGAGCGUUGUCCGGAAUUACUGGGCGUAAAGAGCUCGUAGGUGGUUUGUCGCGUUGUUCGUGAAAACUCACAGCUCAACUGUGGGCGUGCGGGCGAUACGGGGCAGACUUGAGUACUGCAGGGGAGACUGGAAUUCCUGGUGUAGCGGUGAAAUGCGCAGAUAUCAGGAGGAACACCGGUGGCGAAGGCGGGUCUCUGGGGCCGAAUACUGACGCUGGAGGAGCGAAAGCGUGGGGAGCGAACAGG
rnacentral:rRNA from 1 species